GUGGGGAAUUUUGGGCAAUGGGCGCAAGCCUGAUCCAGCAAUGCCGCGUGCAGGAAGAAGGCCUUCGGGUUGUAAACUGCUUUUGUACGGAACGAAACGGUCCGGGUUAAUACCCUGGGCUAAUGACAGUACCGGGAGAAUAAGCUCCGGCUAACUUCGUGCCAGCAGCCGCGGUAAUACGAGGGGAGCUAGCGUUGUUCGGAAUUACUGGGCGUAAAGCGCGCGUAGGCGGUGAUGUAAGACAGUUGUGAAAUCCCCGGGCUCAACCUGGGAACUGCAUCUGUGACUGCAUUGCUGGAGUGCGGCAGAGGGGGAUGGAAUUCCGCGUGUAGCAGUGAAAUGCGUAGAUAUGCGGAGGAACACCGAUGGCGAAGGCAAUCCCCUGGGCCUGCACUGACGCUCAUGCACGAAAGCGUGGGGAGCAAACAGGAUUAGAAACCCUAGUAGUCC
rnacentral:rRNA from 1 species